ACCGCGAUAGCCCAGUUAGUAGUGGCGUCGGCAGUACAGAUGCCGCAGGAUGUACAGGAGUCGCAGGUUCAAAUCCUGCCUGCGGUG